rnacentral:tRNA from 1 species
AUGCCUAUCAAUGCCGUUUUAACCGGACUACGAAUCCGUAGGUCGCAGGUUCGAAUCCUGCCGGGCGCGCCA